GCUGAACACCAGAUCAAUCUAAUUAAG
rnacentral:piRNA from 1 species